rnacentral:rRNA from 1 species
UACGGGGGGAGCAAGCGUUGUUCGGAUUUACUGGGCGUAAAGGGCGCGUAGGCGGUCAGCACAAGUCAGUUGUGAAAUCUCCGGGCUUAACUCGGAAAGGUCAACUGAUACUGUGCGACUAGAGUGCGGAAGGGGCAACUGGAAUUCUUGGUGUAGCGGUGAAAUGCGUAGAGAUCAUGAGGAAGACCAGUGGCGAAGGCGGGUCUCUGGACAGUUCCUGACACUGAGACACGAAGGCCAGGGGAGCAAACGGG